GCCAGCGUGGUGUAGUGGUUCGAAUGCUGGUCUAUGACCCUGGAGAGCAGGGUUCGAAUCCCCACUCAGCCA